rnacentral:rRNA from 1 species
GGGUGAGUAACACGUAUGCAACCUGCCCCUGUCAGGGGGACAACCCGCCGAAAGGCGGGCUAAACCCGCGUACAUGCCACCGGGGCAUCCCGGAGGCAGGAAAGGCUUCGGCCGGACAGGGAUGGGCAUACGGCGCAUUAGGCAGUAGGCGGGGUAACGGCCCACCUAACCGACGAUGCGUAGGGGUUCUGAGAGGAAGGUCCCCCACACUGGUACUGAGACACGGACCAGACUCCUACGGGAGGCAGCAGUGAGGAAUAUUGGUCAAUGGUCGGGAGACUGAACCAGCCAAGCCGCGUGAGGGAUGAAGGUACAGAGUAUCGUAAACCUCUUUUGUCAGGGAACAAAGGCGGGGACGUGUCCCCGGAUGAGUGUACCUGAAGAAAAAGCAUCGGCUAACUCCGUGCCAGCAGCCGCGGUAAUACGGAGGAUGCGAGCGUUAUCCGGAUUUAUUGGGUUUAAAGGGUGCGCAGGCGGUCUGUUAAGUCAGCGGUCAAAGCCCGGGGCUCAACCCCGGCCCGCCGUUGAAACUGGCAGUCUCGAGUUGGAGAGAAGUAUGCGGAAUGCGCGGUGUAGCGGUGAAAUGCAUAGAUAUCGCGCAGAACUCCGAUUGCGAAGGCAGCAUGCCGGCUCCACACUGACGCUGAGGCACGAAAGCGUGGGUAUCGAACAGGAUUAGAUACCCUGGUAGUCCACGCAGUAA